rnacentral:rRNA from 1 species
AGAGUUUGAUCAUGGCUCAGAACGAACGCUGGCGGCGUGGAUAAGACAUGCAAGUCGAACGAGAUUACUUUUAGUAGUAAUACCGAGAGUGAUUUAGUGGCGAACGGGUGCGUAACACGUGGGCAAUCUGCCUUAAAGUGGGGGAUAGCUCGGCGAAAGCCGAAUUAAUACCGCAUAUGAUCAGCCAAGACAUCUUGGCGAAAUUAAAGUUGGCGCAAGCUAACGCUUUUAGAGGAGCCCGCGGCCUAUCAGCUAGUUGGUGAGGUAACGGCUCACCAAGGCUAUGACGGGUAGCUGGUCUGAGAGGACGACCAGUCACACUGGAACUGAGACACGGUCCAGACACCUACGGGUGGCAGCAGUCGAGAAUUUUUGACAAUGGGGGAAACCCUGAUCGAGCGACGCCGCGUGGAGGAUGAAGGUCUUCGGGUUGUAAACUCCUGUCAUUUGGGAACAAGGUGCACCGGUUAACUGCCGGAGUAUUGAUAGUACCAGAAGAGGAAGAGACGGCUAACUCUGUGCCAGCAGCCGCGGUAAUACAGAGGUCUCAAGCGUUGUUCGGAUUCAUUGGGCGUAAAGGGUGCGUAGGUGGCGCCGUAAGUCGGGUGUGAAAUUUCGAGGCUUAACCUCGAAACUGCAUUCGAUACUGCGGUGCUUGAGGACUGGAGAGGAGACUGGAAUUCAUGGUGUAGCAGUGAAAUGCGUAGAGAUCAUGAGGAAGACCAGUGGCGAAGGCGGGUCUCUGGACAGUUCCUGACACUGAGGCACGAAGGCCAGGGGAGCAAACGGGAUUAGAUACCCCAGUAGUCC